rnacentral:rRNA from 1 species
UACGGGGGGGGCAAGCGUUGUUCGGAAUUACUGGGCGUAAAGGGCUCGUAGGCGGCCAACUAAGUCCGACGUGAAAUCCCCAGGCUUAACCUGGAAACUGCGUCGGAUACUGGAUGGCUUGAAUCCGGGAGAGGGAUGCGGAAUUCCAGGUGUGGCGGUGAAAUGCGUAGAUAUCUGGAGGAACACCGGUGGCGAAGGCGGCAUCCUGGACCGGCAUUGACGCUGAGGAGCGAAAGCCAGGGGAGCGAACGGG